AAGUCGUAACAAGGUUUCCGUAGGUGAACCUGCGGAAGGAUCAUUACCGAAUUGUCAACACGAGUUGUUGCUGGCCCUCAGAUGGGGGCAAGUGCACGCUCUGUUUGCACAUCCACUCACACCUGUGCACCUUCUGUAGUUCUGUGGCCUGGGGGGGCUCUGUCCCCCUCUGCUGUGGUCCUACACCUUUACACACACACUGUAAUGAAGUCUCAUGGAAUGUAUGCCGCGUUUAACGCAAUGUAAUACAACUUUCAGCAACGGAUCUCUUGGCUCUC
rnacentral:misc_RNA from 1 species